rnacentral:rRNA from 1 species
CCUACGGGAGGCUGCAGUGGGGAAUUUUGGACAAUGGGGGCAACCCUGAUCCAGCCAUGCCGCGUGAGUGAAGAAGGCCUUCGGGUUGUAAAGCUCUUUCGGCCGGGAAGAAAUCGCAUGGGUUAAUACCCUGUGCGGAUGACGGUACCGGCAUAAGAAGCACCGGCUAACUACGUGCCAGCAGCCGCGGUAAUACGUAGGGUGCGAGCGUUAAUCGGAAUUACUGGGCGUAAAGCGUGAGCAGGCGGUUAAAUCCCCGGGCUCAACCUGGGAACUGCGCUUGUGACUGCAAGGCUAGAGUAUGGCAGAGGGGGGUGGAAUUCCACGUGUAGCAGUGAAAUGCGUAGAGAUGUGGAGGAACACCAAUGGCGAAGGCAGCCCCCUGGGCCAAUACUGACGCUCAUGCACGAAAGCGUGGGUAGCAAACAGGAUUAGAUACCCGGGUAGUC